CCGAGUUAGGGUGUCGCCUCGGCGCGCCCGAGGGGUCGUACCCUCGCCUGGACUCGUGCCGGGAGCGUGGCCGCCGAUGGCCCAAUUUAAACUAUUGAACCCAAAACCUGUCGUCUGAAAACGUUAUGAUUUAUAAUCAAAAACA
rnacentral:misc_RNA from 1 species